CAAAUGGAGAGUCUCCGCUGUACCCGAUUGGCCAGUCCGUGAUCUGUAGAACUGGUUUUCCUUCAGGUACCGUUUCACCGGCCUUGCGUCCUACAUUUCCUUGGUUUCCAGCAGCAGGAACCACUGCCCCUCCAAUGCCCUGGGGACCCUGGGCCUUGCUCUCCUGCGGACGCGCUACCCAGGGCUCUAAAUGAGGCUAUAUAUACUUAUUUAGCCGGGUAAUAAUAACAAAAACGAUAUAAGCCCAAAAGUCCCCGCAUUCUUACUAUACAUACCAGAAUGCUGAACUGCUUGCUCCCUUGUCAAUUUUCCAUCGACUACACAAAAAGCAACGGGAGUGGGUAUAAAUUAGAACUAGACAGAUAUAUUUUUCUCUUCGUUUUCAGGACAAGGUCCACUCCACUUUCGUGAAAGUUGAAACAGAGCCUGUCCAAUUGAUCUUUCUCGAUUUUGAUCCAUUCCACUCUUUUUCUUGCUUUGGAACAUUACAGAACUUUCGCUGGAAAUAUUUCUACUUGAACGCCGGUAGCCCCAGAGAGAUGUUCCGAAGGUGGUUUUCACGGGACGCUCUAGAUCCGUCUGCGCCUCACUAUUUAUUUCCAUUUGUUCUGGCGAUUAAAUAAGGAAGAAUUGGCCAAUGAAUCGUGCCCAUGUUUCAUAAAGAUACAGAAUCCUCAACCCCCAUGCUAGUUGUAAAUCGGAUAUUCGUGUCUGCGUACUAUGGAAAUCGCAUUGAAAUGUAUUCGCUCCUCCAGGAACAUCUAUCCAUACAUCGAGUAUUUCUCCCC
rnacentral:sRNA from 2 species